rnacentral:tRNA from 1 species
GCAUCGGUAGUUCAGUGGUAGAAUAGGGGACUAAAAAUCCCGGUGUCGCAGGUUCGAUUCCUGCCCGAUGCA